rnacentral:rRNA from 1 species
AUUGAACGCUGGCGGCAGGCCUAACACAUGCAAGUCGAACGAGUGGCGGACGGGUGAGUAAUGUCUGGGAAACUGCCCGAUGGAGGGGGAUAACUACUGGAAACGGUAGCUAAUACCGCAUACCAUCGGAUGUGCCCAGAUGGGAUUAGCUUGUAGGUGAGGUAACGCCUCACCUAGGCGACGAUCCAUAGCUGGUCUGAGAGGAGGACCAGCCACACUGGAAGUGAGACACGGUCCUGAAUCCUACGGGAGGCAUCAGGGGGGAAGAUUGCAAAAUUGGCUCAAGACUGAUGCAGCCAGGACGCGUGAAUGAAGAAGGCCUUCGGGUUGUAAAGUACUUUCAGCGGGGAGUCGUUACCCGCAGAAGAAGCACCGGCUAACUCCGUGCCAGCAGCCGCGGUAAUUC